UACGAAAUCAUUACUCAUACAUACUUAAGUCUUCAUCGGACGUACGAAUGCUGACAAAGAGAAUGUGUUUGCAAUGGUUAAUAAAGAAAUCACAAGCAUGUUUUAACUGCUUGUGUUUUCUUUUCAGAAGUUGUUAUAACUGGUUCUGUGGUAAUUACAACUCAGUAAACGGCGAUAUGGAUUUACAGAAACACUGCGAAAAGGUCAACGUAGCUAUAAUACGGGAUUCAAUGAAGAAUAUUCAUAGGAGGUAUAUGUUGCAAGUCGUUGAUGCAACCUGUGCUAUCAUCCAUCAGAUUGAUUGUAACCAUAGUUACCUACUUAGCAAUCUUACACUCAACGUGUAUUAUAAAACGAAGUUCUACCAGUUCAGAAGUGGUACCGGAGAACACAUCGUCAUUGUUAAUUAUGCAAACAAAACAAUUUCUUGCAACUGUAUUAACUGUCCAUCUGAAGUCAAAAGCAUUGUAAAAAACACAUAUAGCAUUUAAAAGGAUUCUUAUAAUCUACGAGGAAACACUUUAAUGUUUAUGUACGUCAACAAAACAGUUUAGGUUUCUUUAAAAACAAAUGCUGCUGAAUGGGUAAUACAUAGUUUAUAUGAAUAAAUUUUCAAUUGAAUAAAA